rnacentral:rRNA from 1 species
GACGAACGCUGGCGGCGCGCCUAACACAUGCAAGUCGAACGAUCGAGAGCGAGCUUGCUUUCUUGAGCGAGUGGCGAACGGGUGAGUAACGCGAGAGGAACCUGCCCUAAAGAGGUGGACAACAGAUGGAAACGACUGCGAAUACCGCAUAAGCCCACGGUGGCGCAUGGCACAGAGGGACAAGGAGCAAUCCGCUUUGAGAUGGCCUCGCGUCCGCUUAGCUAGAUGGUGAGGGAACGGCCCAGCAAGGCGACGGCGGGGAGCCGGAUUGGGAGGUGGAACGGCCACGUCGGGAAUGAGACACAGCCGAGACUAAUACGGGAGGAAGCGGUCGGGCAUAUUGCAGCAUGGGGGCGACACGGAUGGAGCGACGCGGGGUGGAGGCAGCAGGUGCUCGGAUUGUAAGCUCCUGUUGUUGGGGAAGAGGUUGACGGUACCCAACAAGGAAGUGACGGCUAACUACGUG